AGCACUGGCAAUGGGAUAAGAGACACCUUGUUGGUGAUGUUGUUCUUUUAUCAGUCAGAAGCAGAGCAGAUGGCGGUCCUCUGUCCAUCCUAGCUUAAUGCCUGGCUUGGUGGUCAACGCUGUUUAAUGCCUAGGACACAUAA